CAUUACUGAUUUGUUGACAUGAGCUGUUGCUGGUCCUCAAACAUGGGGGCAUGUGCACGCUCUGUUCACACAUCCACUCACACCUGUGCACCCUCCGUAGUUCUAUGGUCUGGGGGACACCUUGUCUUCCUCCUGUAGUUCUAUGUCUUUACACGUACACCGUAGCGAAGUCUUAUGGAAUGUGCACCGCGUUUAACGCAAUACAAUACAACUUUCAGCAACGGAUCUCUUGGCUCUCGCAUCGAUGAAGAACGCAGCGAAAUGCGAUAAGUAAUGUGAAUUGCAGAAUUCAGUGAAUCAUCGAAUCUUUGAACGCACCUUGCGCCCCUUGGCUAUUCCGAGGGGCAUGCCUGUUUGAGUAUCAUGAACACCUCAACUCACAUGGUUUGCCAUGAUGAGCUUGGACUUUGGGGGUUUUGCUGGCCUGCAGUCAGCUCCUCUCAAACGGAUCAGCUUACCAGUAUUUGGUGGCGUCAUGGGUGUGAUAAUUAUCUACACUUGUGGUUGUCUGCUGAGUAACCUUUGGCGACAGGGGUUUGCUGGAGCUUAUAAAUGUCUCUCCCCAGCGAAGACAGCUUUUUGACCGUUCGAUCUCAAAUCAGGUAGGACUACCCGCUGAACUUAA
rnacentral:rRNA from 1 species